AUAUAAUUAAGCGGAGGAAAAGAAACUAACAAGGAUUCCCCUAGUAACGGCGAGUGAAGCGGGAAAAGCUCAAGCUUAAAAUCUCUAUGGUUUUUAAUCAUGGCGAAUUGUAGUCUAUAGAAGCUGUUACCAGCAGCAUGUCUUUGGAAAAGUCCCUUUGAAGAGGGCAGCAUAGAGGGUGAAACUCCCGUCUUUGCCAAGGACUAUGCGCGUACGGUACGCUUUCUUUGAGUCGGGUUGCUUGGGAAUGCAGCUCAAAGCAGGUGGUAAAUUCCAUCUAAAGCUAAAUAUUGGGGAGAGACCGAUAGCGCACAAGUA
rnacentral:rRNA from 1 species